CAUUUAAAGAAAGCGUAAUAGCUCACUGGUCGAGUCGGCCUGCGCGGAAGAUGUAACGGGGCUAAACCAUGCACCGAAGCUGCGGCAGCGACACUGUGUGUUGUUGGGUAGGGGAGCGUUCUGUAAGCCUGUGAAGGUGUGUCGUGAGGCAUGCUGGAGGUAUCAGAAGUGCGAAUGCUGACAUAAGUAACGAUAAAGCGGGUGAAAAGCCCGCUCGCCGGAAGACCAAGGGUUCCUGUCCAACGUUAAUCGGGGCAGGGUGAGUCGACCCCUAAGGCGAGGCCGAAAGGCGUAGUCGAUGGGAAACGGGUUAAUAUUCCCGUACUUGGUGUUACUGCGAAGGGGGGACGGAGAAGGCUAUGUUGGCCGGGCGACGGUUGUCCCGGUUUAAGCGUGUAGGUGUGUGUUCCAGGUAAAUCCGGUUCACUUUAACACUGAGGCGUGACGACGAGGCACUACGGUGCUGAAGCAACAAAUGCCCUGCUUCCAGGAAAAGCCUCUAAGCAUCAGGUAACAUCAAAUCGUACCCCAAACCGA
rnacentral:rRNA from 1 species